GGCGACGUAGCUCAGUCGGUCAGAGCGAGGGCUUCAUAAUCCCUAGGUCGUGUGUUCGAUCCACACCGUCGCCA
rnacentral:tRNA from 1 species